GAGGAUAUAGCUCAGUGGUAGAGCACAUACUUAGCAUGCACAAGGUCCUAGGUUCAAUCCCCAGUAUCUCCA
rnacentral:tRNA from 1 species